AAGGUGGGAUGACGUCAAAUCAUCAUGCCCCCUUAUGUCUUGGGCUUCACGCAUGCUACAAUGGCCGGUACAAAGGGCUGCGAUACCGCGAGGUGGAGCGAAUCCCAGAAAGCCGGUCUCAGUUCGGAUUGGGGUCUGCAACUCGACCCCAUGAAGUCGGAGUCGCUAGUAAUCGCAGAUCAGCAACGCUGUGGUGAAUACGUUCCCGGGCCUU
rnacentral:rRNA from 1 species